UCCUAGUGCAACACCUGGGUUCUGGAGUG
rnacentral:piRNA from 1 species